rnacentral:rRNA from 1 species
CAAGUCUUACGGGACGCAGCAGUGGGGAAUAUUGGGCAAUGGGCGCAAGCCUGACCCAGCAACGCCGCGUGAAGGAAGAAGGCUUUCGGGUUGUAAACUUCUUUUCUUGGAGACGAAGAAAGUGACGGUACCCAAGGAAUAAGCCACGGCUAACUACGUGCCAGCAGCCGCGGUAAUACGUAGGUGGCAAGCGUUAUCAGGAUUUAUUGGGUGUAAAGGGCGUGUAGGCGGGAUUGCAAGUCAGAUGUGAAAAUCACGGGCUCAAACUGUGG